UACGGGGGGGGCAAGCGUUGUUCGGAAUUACUGGGCGUAAAGGGUUUGUAGGUGGCCCGCUAAGUCACACGUGAAAUCCCUCAGCUUAACUGGGGAACUGCGUGUGAGACUGGCAGGCUCGAGGGCAGGAGAGGAACGCGGAAUUCCAGGUGUAGCGGUGAAAUGCGUAGACAUCUGGAGGAACACCGGUGGCGAAGGCGGCGUUCUGGACUGUCUCUGACACUGAAGAACGAAAGCCAGGGGAGCAAACGGG
rnacentral:rRNA from 1 species